rnacentral:rRNA from 1 species
GACGAACGCUGGCGGCGUGCUUAACACAUGCAAGCCGAACGGUGAGGGGAAGCUUGCUUCCCGGAUCAGUGGCGAACGGGUGAGUAACACGUGGGCAAUCUGCCCCAGACUUUGGGAUAACUACUCGAAAGAGUAGCUAAUACCGAAUAUUCAGCCUUGCAGGCAUCUGCGAGGCUGGAAAGUUUCUCGGUCUGGGAUGAGCCCGCGGCUAUCAGCUAGUUGGUGAGGUAAUGGCUCACCAAGGCGACGACGGGUAGCCGGCCUGAGAGGGCGACCGGCCACACUGGGACUGAGACACGGCCCAGACUCCUACGGGAGGCAGCAGUGGGGAAUAUUGCGCAAUGGGCGAAAGCCUGACGCAGCAACGCCGCGUGCGGGAUGAAGGCC